rnacentral:rRNA from 1 species
UUCAGCGUGCCUAAUACAUGCAAGUCGAACGAACUCUGGUAUUGAUUGGUGCUUGCAUCAUGAUUUACAUUUGAGUGAGUGGCGAACUGGUGAGUAACACGUGGGAAACCUGCCCAGAAGCGGGGGAUAACACCUGGAAACAGAUGCUAAUACCGCAUAACAACUUGGACCGCAUGGUCCGAGUUUGAAAGAUGGCUUCGGCUAUCACUUUUGGAUGGUCCCGCGGCGUAUUAGCUAGAUGGUGGGGUAACGGCUCACCAUGGCAAUGAUACGUAGCCGACCUGAGAGGGUAAUCGGCCACAUUGGGACUGAGACACGGCCCAAACUCCUACGGGAGGCAGCAGUAGGGAAUCUUCCACAAUGGACGAAAGUCUGAUGGAGCAACGCCGCGUGAGUGAAGAAGGGUUUCGGCUCGUAAAACUCUGUUGUUAAAGAAGAACAUAUCUGAGAGUAACUGUUCAGGUAUUGACGGUAUUUAACCAGAAAGCCACGGCUAACUACGUGCCAGCAGCCGCGGUAAUACGUAGGUGGCAAGCGUUGUCCGGAUUUAUUGGGCGUAAAGCGAGCGCAGGCGGUUUUUUAAGUCUGAUGUGAAAGCCUUCGGCUCAACCGAAGAAGUGCAUCGGAAACUGGGAAACUUGAGUGCAGAAGAGGACAGUGGAACUCCAUGUGUAGCGGUGAAAUGCGUAGAUAUAUGGAAGAACACCAGUGGCGAAGGCGGCUGUCUGGUCUGUAACUGACGCUGAGGCUCGAAAGUAUGGGUAGCAAACAGGAUUAGAUACCCUGGUAGUCCAUACCGUAAACGAUGAAUGCUAAGUGUUGGAGGGUUUCCGCCCUUCAGUGCUGCAGCUAACGCAUUAAGCAUUCCGCCUGGGGAGUACGGCCGCAAGGCUGAAACUCAAAGGAAUUGACGGGGGCCCGCACAAGCGGUGGAGCAUGUGGUUUAAUUCGAAGCUACGCGAAGAACCUUACCAGGUCUUGACAUACUAUGCAAAUCUAAGAGAUUAGACGUUCCCUUCGGGGACAUGGAUACAGGUGGUGCAUGGUUGUCGUCAGCUCGUGUCGUGAGAUGUUGGGUUAAGUCCCGCAACGAGCGCAACCCUUAUUAUCAGUUGCCAGCAUUAAGUUGGGCACUCUGGUGAGACUGCCGGUGACAAACCGGAGGAAGGUGGGGAUGACGUCAAAUCAUCAUGCCCCUUAUGACCUGGGCUACACACGUGCUACAAUGGAUGGUACAACGAGUUGCGAACUCGCGAGAGUAAGCUAAUCUCUUAAAGCCAUUCUCAGUUCGGAUUGUAGGCUGCAACUCGCCUACAUGAAGUCGGAAUCGCUAGUAAUCGCGGAUCAGCAUGCCGCGGUGAAUACGUUCCCGGGCCUUGUACACACCGCCCGUCACACCAUGAGAGUUUGUAACACCCAAAGUCGGUGGGGUAACCUUUUAGGAACCAGCCGCCUAAGGUGGGACAGAUGAUUAGGGUGAAGUCGUAAUAUGAA